rnacentral:rRNA from 1 species
UACGUAGGGUGCGAGCGUUGUCCGGAAUUAUUGGGCGUAAAGAGCUCGUAGGUGGUUUGUCGCGUUGUUCGUGAAAACUCACAGCUCAACUGUGGGCGUGCGGGCGAUACGGGCAGACUGGAGUACUGCAGGGGAGACUGGAAUUCCUGGUGUAGCGGUGAAAUGCGCAGAUAUCAGGAGGAACACCAAUGGCGAAGGCAGCUCGCUGGGACGUGACUGACGCU